rnacentral:rRNA from 1 species
AUGAAAUUACUAUGCUGGAACUGUCGUGGGAUAGGCGAUCCCGCGAAAGUCAGAGAACUCCGCGAUCUCGUGGAGACAAGUUUGCCGACGAUUCUUUGUUUAGUUGAAACUCAGCUGCAAAGAAGUCGCAUAGAGGGUCUUCGCUUUUCUCUUGGUUUUGAUUUUAGCUUUGGAGUUGGUAGUAGUGGCCGCAGUGGUGGCAUUUGUAUCUUUUGA